CACUGUCUGUUAUGUUUGUGAUUGGCUUUUGUCCCCUGAGCUGAUAAAUAAAAACUAAGGAUAUGAGGUAGGAUACUAUUGUGCAAGCCCACCUUGCCUUUUAGGUAUUGAAGUGGGAAGCCUGCGGUAUACUUCGAAUUUCCGCCUUGAACCUUAUGGUUCAGGUUUAGAGCCACGCGACAUAAUAGACACCAA
rnacentral:other from 1 species